CAGUCGCCGCGGUAAUACGAAGGGUGCAAGCGUUACUCGGAAUUACUGGGCGUAAAGCGUGCGUAGGUGGUGGUUUAAGUCCGUUGUGAAAGCCCUGGGCUCAACCUGGGAAUUGCAGUGGAUACUGGGUCACUAGAGUGUGGUAGAGGAUAGUGGAAUUCCCGGUGUAGCAGUGAAAUGCGUAGAGAUCGGAAGGAACAUCUGUGGCGAAGGCGACUAUCUGGGCCAACACUGACACUGAGGCACGAAAGCGUGGGGAGCAAACAGGAUUAGAGACCCCCGUAGUCCCUGUCUCUUAUAC
rnacentral:rRNA from 1 species